UACGUAGGUGGCAAGCGUUGUCCGGAAUCACUGGGCGUAAAGCGCGCGCAGGCGGCGAUCUACGUCUGGGGGUGAAAGCCCGGAGCUCAACUCCGGGACUGCCUUGGAUACGGGAUCGCUUGAGGAUUGGAGAGGCAAGGGGAAUUCCACGUGUGGCGGUGAAAUGCGUAGAUAUGUGGAGGAACACCUGUGGCGAAGGCGCCUUGCUGGCCAAUUUCUGACGCUGAGGCGCGAAAGCGUGGGGAGCAAACAGG
rnacentral:rRNA from 1 species